rnacentral:tRNA from 1 species
UUCUUGAUAGCUUAAUUUGGUAAAAGCAUUUGGUUGUUAACCAUAGGAUUAUAGGUUCAAAUCCUAUUCAAGAAG